rnacentral:pre_miRNA from 1 species
CGGAAGAAUCUGUCAAGCUCAGGAGGGAUAGCGCCUUUAGAUUCGGCAGCCGUCGGUCUCAAGCUUCCGGCGCUAUCCAUCCUGAGUUUUAUGGCUUCUUCUU